UAUGUCCCUGUCUCUGGUGUCAUUCCUUCAGUCUGCACCUCAAUGCGAGCAACACCAAAAUCAGCUAUCUUAAUAGAUUUAUCACCAAAAAUCAAAAGAUUGUCAGACUUUAAAUCCCUAUGAAUCAGACCAAGCCCAUGAACAUAUGCCAUUCCUCUUGCAACAUCCAAGGCCUGCUUGACUGCCAAUUUCAGAGGCACUGCCCUGUUCUGACGCUUCAUUAAAAACUGGCGCACUGAACCUCCUUUCGCAUAUUCUGUAACUAUGCACCACACCAAUGGUUUCCGACAGGCACCAACAAAUCGAACAAUGUUGGGAUGCUUCAAUGUGGCCAGCAUCAUAACUUCUUGCUGAAAUUGUUGCUCCAUCAACUUCGCCAUUUCUUGGUCAUUUUCUGGCCUCUCCAAGAUUUUGAUUGCAACAUCCUCACCAUUGUAAGUUCCUCUAUAGAGUUUCCCAAAAGCUCCUUGAGCAAAAGCCGCCCCCAUAUUAAGCUUCCUCAAAUCAAUGGU
rnacentral:misc_RNA from 1 species